UGGGCAACCAGCCCCUCUCUCUGGGAUAACCCCGGGAAACCGGAGCUAAUACCGGAUACUCCGGCUGGAUCGCAUGGUCCGGCCGGGAAAGGUCCGCCGGAGAGGGAUGGGCCCGCGGCCUAUCAGCUUGUUGGUGGGGUCAUGGCUCACCAAGGCGACGACGGGUAGCUGGUCUGAGAGGACGACCAGCCACACUGGAACUGAGAUACGGUCCAGACUCCUACGGGAGGCA
rnacentral:rRNA from 1 species